GAUCAUGGCUCAGGAUGAACGCUGGCGGCGUGCUUAACACAUGCAAGUCGAACGAAGCACUUAAGAUUGAUUCUUCGGAUGAAGCCUUUUGUGACUGAGUGGCGGACGGGUGAGUAACGCGUGGGUAACCUGCCUCAUACAGGGGGAUAACAGUUAGAAAUGACUGCUAAUACCGCAUAAGCGCACAGGGUCGCAUGACCUAGUGUGAAAAACUCCGGUGGUAUGAGAUGGACCCG
rnacentral:rRNA from 1 species